AUUGAACGCUGGCGGCAUGCUUUACACAUGCAAGUCGAACGGUAACAGGGAGCUUGCUCCGCUGACGAGUGGCGAACGGGUGAGUAAUGCAUCGGAACGUACCCAGUCGUGGGGAUAACGUAGCGAAAGUUACGCUAAUACCGCAUACGUCCUGAGGGAGAAAGCGGGGGACCGUAAGGCCUCGCGCGAUUGGAGCGGCCGAUGUCGGAUUAGCUAGUUGGUGGGGUAAAGGCCUACCAAGGCGACGAUCCGUAGCGGGUCUGAGAGGAUGAUCCGCCACACUGGGACUGAGACACGGCCCAGACUCCUACGGGAGGCAGCAGUGGGGAAUUUUGGACAAUGGGGGCAACCCUGAUCCAGCCAUGCCGCGUGAGUGAAGAAGGCCUUCGGGUUGUAAAGCUCUUUCGGCCGGGAAAAAAUCGCAUCAGUUAAUACCUGGUGUGGAUGAUGGUACCGGAAUAAGAAGCACCGGCUAACUACGUG
rnacentral:rRNA from 1 species